CUGUCGUCUAAAUACCUUGAUAUCAAUCAAAAACAAAACUUUCAACAACGGAUCUCUUGGUUCUGGCAUCGAUGA
rnacentral:rRNA from 1 species